UAGGGAAUCUUCGGCAAUGGACGAAAGUCUGACCGAGCAACGCCGCGUGAGUGAAGAAGGUUUUCGGAUCGUAAAACUCUGUUGUUAGAGAAGAACAAGGACGUUAGUAACUGAACGUCCCCUUACCGUAUCUAACCAGAAAGCCACGGCUAACUACGUGCCAGCAGCCGCGGUAAUACGUAGGUGGCAAGCGUUGUCCGGAUUUAUUGGGCGUAAAGCGAGCGCAGGCGGUUUCUUAAGUCUGAUGUGAAAGCCCCCGGCUCAACCGGGGAGGGUCAUUGGAAACUGGGAGACUUGAGUGCAGAAGAGGAGAGUGGAAUUCCAUGUGUAGCGGUGAAAUGCGUAGAUAUAUGGAGGAACACCAGUGGCGAAGGCGGCUCUCUGGUCUGUAACUGACGCUGAGGCUCGAAAGCGUGGGGAGCAAACAGG
rnacentral:rRNA from 1 species